UACGUAGGGGGGCGAGCGUUUGUCCGAAGUUACUGGGCGUAAAGCGCGCGUAGGCGGGAGCGUAAGUCCGCUGUGAAAGCCCUAAGCUCAACUUAGGAGGGUCGGUGGAGACUGCGUUUCUUGAAGGUGCUAGAGGGAGAUGGAAUUACCGGUGUAGCGGUGAAAUGCGUAGAGAUCGGUAGGAACACCCGGUGGCGAAGGCGGUCUCCUGGGGCACUCUUGACGCUGGAGGCGCGGAAAAGCCUGGGGGGAGCGAACGGGG
rnacentral:rRNA from 1 species